AGCCCAGGAAGGAGCUGCUUGGCUCUUGGGAGGGGAGCAGACUUUUCCCUGUGCCUGGGCAGUGUGCUGGAGCUGCGGAGAUGCCAACCAGGCUCGGCAGAAAAAGCGUCACCCACCAGAAAGGCAGGAGGAUUCUGAAGCUCAUUGUAAUGCUGCUUCCAAUCCUUUUUGCUGGUGACUACUUCUGGGGCUGGACACUAUGGGGAAAAGAAGUGUUGCAAG